rnacentral:rRNA from 1 species
UACGGGGGGGGUAAGCGUUAUCCGGAAUUAUUGGGCGUAAAGCGUCCGCAGGUGGUUAUCCAAGUCUGCUGUUAAAGCGCGAGGCUUAACUUCGUACAGGCAGUGGAAACUGGAUGACUGGAGUAUGGUAGGGGUAGCGGGAAUUCCCAGUGUAGCGGUGAAAUGCGUAGAUAUUGGGAAGAACACCAGCGGCGAAAGCGCGCUACUGGGCCAUUACUGACACUCAUGGACGAAAGCUAGGGGAGCGAAAGGG